rnacentral:rRNA from 1 species
CGGGGUGCCUAUACUGCAGUAGACGCUGAGAGAGGAGCUUGCUCUUCUUGGAUGAGUUGCGAACGGGUGAGUAACGCGUAGGUAACCUGCCUUGUAGCGGGGGAUAACUAUUGGAAACGAUAGCUAAUACCGCAUAACAAUGGAUGACACAUGUCAUUUAUUUGAAAGGGGCAAUUGCUCCACUACAAGAUGGACCUGCGUUGUAUUAGCUAGUAGGUGAGGUAAUGGCUCACCUAGGCGACGAUACAUACCCGACCUGAGAGGGUGAUCGGCCACAAUGGGACUGAAAACGGACCAAACUCCUACAUGAGGCU